rnacentral:rRNA from 1 species
UGGGGAAUAUUGGACAAUGGGCGAAAGCCUGAUCCAGCAAUGCCGCGUGAGUGAUGAAGGCCUUAGGGUUGUAAAGCUCUAUUACCAGGGAUGAUAAUGACAGUACCUGGAGAAUAAGCUCCGGCUAACUCCGUGCCAGCAGCCGCGGUAAUACGGAGGGAGCUAGCGUUGUUCGGAAUUACUGGGCGUAAAGCGUACGUAGGCGGUGACUCAAGUCAGAGGUGAAAGCCUGGAGCUCAACUCCAGAACUGCCUUUGAAACUAGGUCGCUAGAAUCACGGAGAGGUGAGUGGAAUUCCGAGUGUAGAGGUGAAAUUCGUAGAUAUUCGGAAGAACACCAGUGGCGAAGGCGGCUCACUGGACGUGUAUUGACGCUGAGGUACGAAAGCGUGGGGAGCAAACAGGAUUAGAUACCCCUGUAGUCCCUGAGCGGGCUGGCAAGGCGCAU